UACGUAGGGGGCGAGCGUUGUCCGAAGUUACUGGGCGUAAAGCGCGCGUAGGCGGUCUAUUAAGUCUGAGGUGAAAGGUUCAACGCUCAACGUGAACAGUGCCUUGGAUACUGGUAGACUUGAGUGUGGCAGAGGAGUAUGGAAUUCCUGGUGUAGCGGUGAAAUGCGUAGAUAUCAGGAGGAAUACCGAUGGCGAAGGCAGUACUCUGGGCUAACACUGACGCUGAGGUGCAAAAGCGUGGGGAGCAAACGGG
rnacentral:rRNA from 1 species